rnacentral:rRNA from 1 species
AUGGCCAACAAUCUUUGGAUCGCAAAUAUUGACGUCACCAACGGUCUGUCCCUCGCGCAGAUUGAGCAAUUUGCUGACCUUUGGGAAAAGGUUUCAACGGUGGCCCUCGAGGAUGAAGUGGAAGACUCGAUUAUAUGGAAGUUUUCUAAGGACGGAACGUACUCAGCUUCCUCGGCUUACAAGGUGCAAUUCGAAGGCCUCACCUCCUCUGAUCUUGUCCAGUCAGUGUGGAGUGUGUGGGCUCCGCUGAGGUGCAAAUUCUUUGCUUGGCUGGUUCUUCAAAAUAGGGUCUGGACAUCAGACCGCUUGAUCCGUCGUGGGUGGCCCAACUGCGGCUUGUGUCCUCUCUGCAAGCAAGUGCAGGAGUCCGCGGCCCACCUUCUCUUCCAAUGCCGCUUCUCUUUGCGCAUCUGGAACGACAUUCUCCCGUGGCUCGGAAUGCACCACAUCUCUACUUCUUCUUGGUCGGCGAGCGCUUCGGUCAAAGGAUGGUGGAACGAUAAUCUUCAGAUUCGUCUCGGCUCGCCCAAAGCCCUUGCCUCAUUGAUGAUGCUCAUCUCAUGGGAGAUUUGGUCCGAGCACAACGCGAGAGUCUUUCGCAACGUUGCAGUCCCUCCGGUGGUAAUUAUUAACAAGAUCAAGCAAGAGGUGUUGCUUUGGGCUUUGGCAGGUGCCAAGCACUUGGGUAUUGUAAUGCCGCGAAAGUAA